ACACGACUACAUUAGAUACCCCGGUAGUCCUAGCCGUAAACGAUACUCGCUAGGUGUCGGCCACGGUGCGACCGUUGUCGGUGCCGUAGGGAAGCCGUGAAGCGAGCCACCUGGGAAGUACGGCCGCAAGGCUGAAACUUAAAGGAAUUGGCGGGGGAGCACAACAACGGGUGGAGCUUGCGGUUUAAUUGGAUUCAACGCCGAAAAACUCACCAGGAGCGACGGAUAUAUGAAGGUCAAGCUGAUGACUUUACCUGAUUUUCCG
rnacentral:rRNA from 1 species